rnacentral:rRNA from 1 species
UACGUAGGGGGCAAGCGUUGUCCGGAAUCAUUGGGCUUAAAGCGCGUGUAGGCGGUCCGGUAAGUCCGCUGUGAAAGCCGGGGGCUCAACCCUCGGAUGCCGGUGGAUACUGUCGGGCUUGAGUACGGAAGAGGCGAGUGGAAUUCCUGGUGUAGCGGUGAAAUGCGCAGAUAUCAGGAGGAACACCAAUUGCGAAGGCAGCUCGCUGGGACGUUACUGACGCUGAGACGCGAAAGCGUGGGGAGCAAACAGG